UCCGGAAUGGUGUAGUGGCUAGCAUUUCUGCCUCUCAUGAUCUGUCUAAACAACAGUUCACAGAUGUGCGCAGGAGACCGGGGUUCAAUUCCCCGUUCCGGAA